CCCGGCGGACGGACACUCCGCCACGACUCGGCGGAGGAGAGGACCGUCGUGGUAAAAAAAAGCCACGGCCGAGAAUGCACGCGGCGGCGGCGGCAGACACGGUCGCAAUCCGACAGAAACGAAUUUUCCAUGAAACAAAAACGCAUCAAAAGGCGGUUUCCACGGCAAAGGAUUAAACAUCAACCGCUGUCUGAACAACGGAAACCGUUACGAGUAAACAGUUUUUCAUUUUGAUUCGAGCAAUGGUCCGAUGUGGAUGUAAGCUCCGAGAAUUGGUGACUUAAAUUGAAGCGAGUAACAUUCACAACUGAUUGGUAUAAAGGACAAGCAAAGGUUUACAGUUCAAUGGAGACAAUCGUUGUCAAGGAAAGUGUUACUGGAACUUAAAUAAUCAUCUCCAUCUACAAUGAUCCAGAUUGAAGAAGAAUCUUGGAAGACGUCGAUUUUUAAUCAAUGUUCGUAAAUUUUUGUCAAAACAGUGACUACGAAGUCUACCACAAAAUUUCCAAUAUCGUUACUUGUAGAAAAUUUUAGCAGGGGUGGAA